AGGUGUUCUGGGACUACAACUCCCAUCAUCCCUUGCUAGCUGGGGGGAUGGGAGUUGUAGUCCCAGAACACCU